rnacentral:rRNA from 1 species
CAGGCAGAUCCAAUUUUCUGCCACCGAAUACAUUAGCAUGGGAUAAUGGAAUAGGACCCUGUCCUCCUAUUUUCAGUUGGUUUGCCGCGAGGACCAGGGUAAUGAUUAAUAGGGAUAGUUGGGGGCAUUAAUAUUUAAUUGUCAGAGGUGAAAUUCUUGGAUUUAUGAAAGAUUAACUUCUGCGAAAGCAUCUGCCAAGGAUGUUUUCAUUAAUCAAGAACGAAAGUUAGGGGAUCGAAGACGAUCAGAUACCGUCGUAGUCUUAACCAUAAACGAUGCCGACCAGCGAUUAGGAGACGUUGAAUACAAAACACCACCAUGCGCAUUGCGGUCGUCUUUGGUGUCGCUCACAAGGCGGCACCGGGGCGGCUUAGCUCGCAUGGCACCG